GAUGAACGCUGGCGGCGUGCCUAAUACAUGCAAGUCGAGCGAACAGACGAGGAGCUUGCUCCUCUGACGUUAGCGGCGGACGGGUGAGUAACACGUGGAUAACCUACCUAUAAGACUGGGAUAACUUCGGGAAACCGGAGCUAAUACCGGAUAAUAUAUUGAACCGCAUGGUUCAAUAGUGAAAGACGGUUUUGCUGUCACUUAUAGAUGGAUCCGCGCCGCAUUAGCUAGUUGGUAAGGUAACGGCUUACCAAGGCAACGAUGCGUAGCCGACCUGAGAGGGUGAUCGGCCACACUGGAACUGGGACACGGUCCAGACUCCUACGGGAGGCAGCAGUAGGGAAUCUUCCGCAAUGGGCGAAAUCCUGACGGAGCAACGCCGCGUGAGUGAUGAAGGUCUUCGGAUCGUAAAACUCUGUUAUUAGGAAAGAACAAAUGUGUAAGUAACUAUGCACGUCUUGACGGUACCUAAUCAGAAAGCCACGGCUAACUACGUG
rnacentral:rRNA from 1 species